rnacentral:rRNA from 1 species
AGAGAGAGACAUGCGCGCAUAUCAAUAAGCGGAGGAAAAGAAACUAACAAGGAUUCCCCUAGUAACGGCGAGUGAAGCGGGAAGAGCUCAAAUUUGAAAUCUUAAAGGGUUUCCCUUUACGAAUUGUAGUUUAAAGAAGUGUUUUCUGUUGAGGUUUUGGUAAAAGUUCUUUGGAAUAGGACAUCAUAGAGGGUGAGAAUCCCGUAUUUGACCUUUACUUUCAACUUUGUGAUACACUUUCAAAGAGUCGGAUUGUUUGGGAAUGCAGUCCAAAAUGGGUGGUAAAUUUCAUCUAAAGCUAAAUAUUGGCGAGAGACCGAUAGCGAACAAGUACCGUGAGGGAAAGAUGAAAAGAACUUUGAAAAGAGAGUUAAACAGGUACGUGAAAUUGUCAAAAGGGAAGCGUUUGACACCAGUGUUGUUUUUCUGAAAAUCAAUUAAAGAACUGUUUAUGCUAAGCUGUUUAGACUUUAUCAGCUAACUGUUUAGUUUUGAGCUUUUCUUUAAUGCACUUUUCAGUUAACAAGUCAACAUCAAUUUCUUUUGCUGUAAAAAAGCUUGAGGAAGGUGGCUUGAGAUUCGUCUUAAGUGUUUAUAGCCUCUUGCCUAUGCAGUCGGAGAGAUUGAGGUCUGCAGCGUAGAUCCUUCGGGGCUAAAUGCAUUUGUGCUAAGUUAUAGCAUUUUAUAGACAACCUUGUUGACUAUGAUUUGUCUUGUAGCUUACUCGCUUAUGUUAUUUUACCUACGCUUAGGAUGUUGAGCGCAUGUCUCUCUCU